GAGAGAGAGAGAGAGAGAGAGAAUAUGAUAGUGUACCAUUAAGACAGCUUAGGUCUAAACCAUUUUCCUUGUUUGGCCCGCGGGAGAUGCAAACACUCGCUAUCACCUUCAAUACUUCCCCCUUCACCAAGAUCACCAGCACAGGACACGAUCACGAAGAGAAAGAGAGGAUUAAGAUGUCACAGUAACCAUUAACUCGAUACCUGAAGCGAGAAUAACCAUUAUGUCCUAUUAAUAAUAGCUGUAGUAAUGGGAGUUAUCAUUGACAGUUGUGUACCGUACAGACAGCACAGCCUUCACGCACAUACAGUGGUGGUGGUGCUGGCGGUGGUGUUUUGGUGUUUACUGCUCAGUCUAUCUACACACCCAGACGCAUUCACGCACAGCCAUAGAUACUCAAAACACACUCAAACACACACAGAACCAAGCUAAACACACACACAAUGAAGUGAAGUGUUAACAUAUUCCCAGGCAGUUUUUAGCAGCACAAGCGGCAAGACAAGAGUGAACCAGCAGUGCAAGGCAAGCCACCAUGACCUGCAGCCUUCACCACACCCCUCCUUCACUUACUCAAGGCUCAGGCGUGUAGAUGGAAGCAGUAAAAGGAAGGAAAAA